AUUGAACGCUGGCGGCAGGCCUAACACAUGCAAGUCGAGCGGAGCGGCGGACGGGUGAGUAAUUCCUAGGUAUCUACCUGGUAGUGGGGGAUAACGUCCGGAAACGGGCGCUAAUACCGCAUACUAUCAGAUGAGCCUAGGUGGGAUUAGCUAGUUGGUUGGGUAAAGGCCUACAAAGGCGACGAUCCGUAACUGGUCUGAGAGGAUGAUCAGUCACACGGGAACGGAGAAACGGUCCAGAUUCCUACGGGAGGCAGCAGUGGGGAAUAUUGGACAAUGGGCGAAAGCCGGAUCCAGCCAUGCCGCGUGUGUGAAGAAGGUCUUCGGAUUGUAAAGCACUUUAAGUUGGGAGGCGUUACCAACAGAAUAAGCACCGGCUAACUUCGUGCCAGCAGCCGCGGUAAUAC
rnacentral:rRNA from 1 species